GGACGGGGAUUCAGCCUCCCCCACUGCCAGGCUGGGCCAGAGGAGAUGUGACAAAGGGAGGAAGCAGACAUGGCUUGUCCCCACAGCUGUGCACAGGCCAAGUGCCAGCGAUUACAGCCUGGACACUCACAGCACAGCUUUCCGAGAUGGGCAAGCAGAUUAUUGUCGCAUGACUUUCUCCGGACGAUGAGCCUGAAUGCUUGAUAUUUGCAGGAAGAAAUGUGAAAA